rnacentral:tRNA from 1 species
GGGCGGUUAGCUCAGUUGGUUAGAGCGCCACGUUGACAUCGUGGAGGUCACAAGUUCGAGUCUUGUUCCGCCCA